GCCCUUAUAGCUCAGUUGGCCAGAGCAUCAGAUCUGUAAUCUGAGGGUCCUCGGUUCGAAUCCGAGUAAGGGCC
rnacentral:tRNA from 4 species